AAGAGACUGAUCCCCGUCUGCUGAUUUAAAUUGAUGGUCUGACGGAAAUAUUAUUGUGGUAAGUCAGAGAAAUACAUCGAUUUUUAUGUAAUUUACUUGUUAUAAGCUUUAAACCCAUUAGUAAUGAAGUUGUCAAUGUUUCUACAGCGGAUUUACACUAAAACACGAAAGAGCCUGAACCGCGACAGUGUCACAAGUUGCCUUACAUCGCUGCUGCAUGAAGUGAAGAUGCAGUUUGGGAAGGACCUUCAUCUUAAUCUAGAGACUGCUCUUAAAUGUGGCUAGACAUGGAAGUCAGAGGGAUGUGCUGAACAGUUUACUUCAGCAAAUUGACACAAACACAAAAAGAAUCAGUAAAGCCAACUCCGACUAUAGUUUUUCAUGAAGCUUCAAACCCCCUCCAUGCAAAAAGAGCCAGCAUCAAUAUGGAGGGUGUCAACAUUGUGAGCGCAGAAAUGGAUGUGAUGGAGGCAAUGGAGUGCCUCUUUGCUAUUUCGUAUUCAGUGUGGAAUACCCCAAGCACAUCACUCACAUGAUGAAUUUUGUUGAGCACUACCUGUUUAAACUCUCCAGCAGCCAAAAAAAAAAAAAAAAACUGUCUGUCGCAGUGCUCAAAAUGUAUAAUCAAUUAUCAUAAUACUUAGAUAUGUCAUGAAUAGUGCUAAUGUAAAUUUGUAAAUAUAAGGCGAUUGAUGUUAUUCUGAAAUGCUGAUCUGAAUUUGAAUCUGUAAUUACAAUUCUUUAUGAGUGAUAUUAAUGUAAAUUUGUAGAUUUGAAGUACUUGAUGUUCUGAAAUGCUGAUCUGAAUUUUAAUCUAUGUAUUCACAUUCUUUAUGAGUGAUAUUAAUAUG